UAAAGUCACAGUUUUGCACAAGGCCUAUAAAGUUGCAAAAUAAGCUUAUGUAGAGUGUAACACUGAAAAAAACUUUUAACCACUUCCUCAUCAAAAGGAUUUUUCUUUUUCUUACACUGUGGUUUAAUUCUAGAUAUUUAAAUAGAUUUUCAGCAGCUGAAGCGUUCAUCCUGGAAUGAUAAUUCUUUUUAAAGAUGUAGUUUUUUGCUUUUAUUAUGAUAGGACAAUGAAGAGUUGACAGGAAGUGAAGUGAGAGAGUGUGAGAGUGUGAGGAUCAGGAAAGCUCCUCGAGCCAUGCAGGAUUUAAACUCAGGACACCUGUAAUGAAACCGUUCUGUAUGUCGGCGCUGCCCAAAAAGGCUAUCACUGCGGCAUCAACCUGACACGAGAAUUUACCCUCUUUCACUUUGUGAGUAGAAAGCCAUGGAGGAGUACAAUGAGGAGGCAUUAAAACAAGGCUACAUCUUCCCUUCAGCUUCCCCUUCUGCUUUGAGCUUCUCCUUCAUGGCAAAGAACGAUGGAGGCUACUGCAAUUACUUUACCCUCAACAAGAUUACUGUGAAGUUUCGAUACACACUUCCUCUCAUCGCAGUAGCUUUAGAACAAGUCUGCAGAGCCACUGUUUUUACCAAGUUGGACCUCCACAGUGUACAUAUGAUGGAACUGAAGGGAAAUUCAGAAACCGACUGAACCUGGAUCAUCAGACUGGAUCUCUGACAAUCACAAACAGCACAACUGAACACACUGGAGUUUAUAAACUAUUGAUCAUCAGCAGCCGAGAGACCAAAUACAAGAGAUUCAAAGUUACAAUCCGUGGGAGUGAAAGAAGUCCAGAUGGGGGGCCUGAGCAGGAGGGGACCCCCUUAAUGCAAAUA